AUUUAAUGUCAUUUGACAAAAUCAUUUGCUGUGGACAGGACAGGGACAACAGACCACAGCAGCAGACACAAGAAUCUGACUGAGCCUCAGAUCCCCGUCCAGGAACCGGUGCCUCCACAAUGUGGUCUGGGACGAGUAGUUUCUCUGGGACAAUUUGUGGUGGUCAACGGGACGAAGACGCUGCUAUUGUCAGCUUAUCUGGAGCACCGCUCGGCACCAAAGAAGGUUCGUGUUAUUGCAGUGGUGCUGAGGAGCGAGCAGGUAGAUUAUCGCUGCCUUCUCUGUUGUCAGGAGCAAACGCUCAUCUCUACAGGGAUCAGGAACAUCCACAGCGA